rnacentral:misc_RNA from 1 species
AAGUCGUAACAAGGUUUCCGUAGGUGAACCUGCGGAAGGAUCAUUAACACGUAUCCAACGUUAAAAACACCCCUGUGAACCCGUUAAUCUUGCUCCUCACGCCCUGCACGCCCAGCAAUCCCUGGUAAAUCAUUGUCUGAACAGAUUUUGAGUCAGGGACUUCUGACGUGACGCGAAGAAUGGUAAUGACACUCCAUCUGCGUGGGAUCACAUGCGACGUAGCAAAUCACUUGGCUCCCCAGCGUAAGGAGACGCUGUAACGUUUUGCUGUAGGCCAACACGGCCGGCAAUCCAAGUGGUUGUACUUCGGUACCCUCACAUCGGCACACCACCGAUGAUAUGUCAAUUUCGCGAAUGGACUAAAAGCCUCGCACCAAAAACCGAACAACUGUUAACAAUGGAUAUCUUGGUUCUC